rnacentral:rRNA from 1 species
AACGAACGCUGGCGGCAUGCCUAACACAUGCAAGUCGAACGAGAUCUUCGGGUCUAGUGGCGCACGGGUGCGUAACGCGUGGGAAUCUGCCCUUUGGUCCGGAAUAACAGUUGGAAACGACUGCUAAUACCGGAUGAUGACGAAAGUCCAAAGAUUUAUCGCCAGAGGAUGAGCCCGCGUAGGAUUAGCUAGUUGGUGUGGUAAAGGCGCACCAAGGCGACGAUCCUUAGCUGGUCUGAGAGGAUGAUCAGCCACACUGGGACUGAGACACGGCCCAGCCUCCUACGGGAGGCAGCAGUGGGGGAUAUUGGACAAUGGGCGAAAGCCUGAUCCAGCAAUGCCGCGUGAGUGAUGAAGGCCUUAGGGUUGUAAAGCUCCUUUACCCGGGAUGAUAAUGACAGUACCGGGAGAAUAAGCUCCGGCUAACUCCGUGCCAGCCGCCGCAGUAA